CACAGACACACACAGUGGCACGCACACACAGACACACAGAGUGACACGCACACACAGACACCCCCCCACCACCACGGGUCACGCGGCGUAGCUCGCCCACAGAAACAACCGGACAAGAAGAGCCCUCCCGCCGCCUCCCCCUCCUCCACCCCACAGGGUUCCGCCGGUUCCUUGCGAGACCCUCGCAAAGGCGCGUCACGCGCACAUCGCCAUCAUCAUCGUCAUCGUCGUCGUCGUCAUCACCAUCGUCUCCCACCAUCAUCAGACCUCGUCGGCGUGACGCGUGGGUUGUUUUGUGAAGUACGGAGCGGCGCUACCCGCCCUCAUCAUCCUCGUCGUCGUCGUCGUUCUCGUCUCACGGCGGAUAUUGCGAGGGAUCCUUCUUCUGCAGCUCGGCUGACCCUCUUGUGCGAAAUAAAUGAAUCCGUCGGCACCGCCUCCGUACCCGGGUGCUGAACCCUACCCGCCGUACCCUCAGCAGCCGUACCCUCAGCAGCCGUACCCUCAGCCGGCAGGCCCCUACCCAGGUCCCGGAGGACAGCCCCCACCUUACGGAGGCCAAAACCCAUACCCAGCGCCCUACCCUCCUGGUUCCCAGCCGGGCUACGGGCCGCCGGGACAGCCGCAGUACAACUGGCAGCCCGGGGCGCCAGGCUACCCGGGAUACGCUCCGCAGCCACAGCCGCCGGGACACUAUGGCGCGCAGCCCAAGCCCGAUACAGUGUACGUGGUGCAGGAGCAGAGACGCAACAACAACAGCAGCACCACCGAGACGUGCCUGACGGCCUGCAUGGCCGCCAUGUGCUGCUGCUGCGUGUGGGACAUGCUCACCUAGGUGUCGUCACUGCUGCUGGCGCCGCCUGUAUAUACACCGACACGCGCACACACGCACACAAUAACAACACGCGCACACACGCACACAACAACAAUACACGACCUUCGCCACUAAGUGGCGGUGACGUCACCACGGCGCUUGUGCCAGGCUAGGUGCACAUGUACACGCAUACACAGACACAUGCUGCCCAGACAGACGUUAUGGGUGUGUGUUGCCAACAUUUCACCCAAAGUCCUUGUGUGUGUGCGUGUGCCGAAAAUCACAGUGCGGUAAAAAUGCACCGUCCUUUCGCGUACGCACGGGCAGGUGCCACGUCGACAAAAUCGGUGGCCGUCGUUCACGUUGAGGGGGAGGGGGGUGGGGGAGGGCUCUCCGACGUGUGUGCCGCGUGUCGUGCCGCGUGUCGUGCCGCGUGACGUUCGGCGCGACGUCCCGGAGCUGAAGCUCCCCAGCAUGUGGAGCGAGACGUCGGGACACCGUUACCGGACAGCACGCGGUACAACCCGGAACAACAUCGCAGAGCGACACCGUAACACAAGCUGGCGGGGGUGGGGCGCACGUAGGCGUUUGCGGUCGUGAGCGUUAAAGCGCACGCGUGAAUGCGCACACUUAGACGUACGCACACACCCGGCCCUUCCUAGCGUCCAUAAAUACCCGGCACAAGGCCCCCCCCCCUCCCUCCUCCCGCCGUGUACUCCUGAGCGAGGUUUUGCCCACGGCAUGCACCUGCCACCUCGGGCUUGAGUUUCACUCUCGCCACCUGCUAACUCGACCCCCCCCCAACCGUUCUCCACUCUCGCCGCUACACCCCCCCCCCCCGCCCACUGCAGCAUCUCAUGCUUAGGUGAGGCGAUCGAGCGACAACAGAGAGGGGCGGCAGGUAUUUUUAUCUCCGGCUGUUGGCGCUCACUCGGGCGAUCUGCUCACGUCGCCGUUUACCCCCCUAGUGCCUCGUUUUUGUAGAACGUCAGCGAUGGCGACCACGCUGCUUUGGAGAAUUGCGAUUGGUGUACUCUCUUUUUUGGCUUCUGAUUUCUUAAGUUGCGGUUAGGUGCCGAUCAUUACGGUUAAAACACGAUGCGGUUUAUUUUUUCCUGCUGUGGAGGUAGGCAGAUUAUAAGGCGUUGUGAAGAAAAUCAUUGCAUUUUGAAAUAAACACGAUUGGAAAUUUGUCUUGACUACUUGACACCGUUAAGAAUUGCAGUUCCGACCAUCCCUACAUCAUAGCCACUGGCCUGCAACCCCGAGUCCCUUGAGUGGGAGCUAAAGAGCAAUCCUCGCUGUGUACGGGGCGUACAGUGCGUACGGGGUGCUGGUGCGGUUAAACAGCCCGCGUUUCACGAGUCGCGAUGCAACAGCAGCUAAAGGUCAUUGGGUUGUAAAGGAACCUAGAAAUGUAUUUAUACUGCAACUGGCAGGGCAAGUGAGGAAUAGUCGACGUUGAGCACUCGGUAGCCGUCGCUCUUGCUAAAGUUGAUCUCAUCCACCGGCUCGGGCGGUGAUGCCUCCGAGAUAAUUGUUGUACUUAGUGGCCCCAUCACCCCACAAUGACCUGUAAGCCCCAUUUGAGAGGAUGUGUCACCUGCGUCCGACGCGGAUGAUGGUGUUGAUAAACCGCAGCCUUUGGAGAAGUUAGUGACUGGGAUAGUGGGACGAUCCAGUUCAUUUCAGGACAAUGUGUGUGUGUGCGUGCGCGUAGGGAAUGGUGGCGCAGUGCACUACGAACCGCGCGACCUGAGUUCGAUUCCAGCUCGUGACCAAUAGUGACAGCGAAUAUCUGAACCGAUCCAGGGCCUCCCCUUGGUAGAUUCAGUCUCAAAUGAGUACCUGGUGUGACGUAUAAAAACAUCGCCACUGGGGAGGCAAAGGCGGCCCCGGGUGUGGUGCUGGCCACACCACCCUCUCGUAUGCCGUUCUGGCCUUCAUAUGUUGUUGCUGACAGCACUGGCCUCAACUGUCUGUUAAAGGCUUGCGUGUGCAAAUGCCAGCAACUACGUAUUUGUGUGAGCACUGAUUUAGGACUUAAUAAUGGGCAACCAACUAACCCCUUCGUUUAUAUCCCAACGUGUAAUCUGACUUGGUUUUACUGACUUGGUCGUUAUCAUCCAUCUCCACCACAAACCCGCGAAUGCCAAAAGUCGUACUCUGCCUUCCAACCAGUGUCCCCACCCCCCCUCCGAGACUAUCAGCUCGAGCAUCCGGCCACCCUAAUCAGAAAGCGCAGCAACUUCCCACUUGUCACAAUUCAAUUAAGAAAAAAAUAAUGUGCAUAGGUUUCCAGCAAUUUCAAAUUAUGCAGUCAGUCAUUCAGGGACGAAAUGCCUUUUGAGUAGCUGUAGAAAAAUCACCUCGUGCGCACUAACGUUGAUGUUAUCGCGUGGAUAUUAUUGGCGUCGUGUGUACAGAUGCUGAAAUAAAUGCUAAAAUUAUUCAAUAGCUGCCAUGCUUGCAGACAUAGACAUGGCACGCGCAACAUACAUAUGGUUGGUAGGUCAAGCGCUUAAGAUAAAAUUAGUUUAAGCACACGGAUGCAUUCGUGGUUACUGUGGUUUCGAAUGGCUGUUAACUAAACCACCGGAGCUUAACAAAAAGCAGAUAGCAUGAAACAUGUCUUUUGUUUCUUUGCAGAAUAUUACAUUUUAUUUGGCAACCUCAAUUGAAGGAAAUGCAUAUAACUGUACAUGUACACCACAUAUGCAGCCUCAUACUUGGUGACUCCAAGCACUAAUUAUUUUUAACAUUGCGUUAAACUUUUUUUGAUACAAAUUAAUAUUUGCCAGCAGACAUUAAUUUAAAAAAUAAUUCUCUUAACAGGUGCAAUUUCUCUUAACAUUUACGGAGACUGCUUAUGUAUGUAUCUAUGUACAGACAUUAACAAACUAAAACCUAACUUCUCAGCUUGCUGGUUUUGUUCACAAACCAAAUCUAAUUUCUUUUUGGCUGCCAAUGGGUUGAUUGGUUGGGUGGACGGACGGACGGUUGGAUGUGACGUGACGGAGUUGUGCCGAUUUCUAUAGAGGACGCCCUUAUGUUGUAUUUAAUUGCUGUUGAUAUAAUUAUCGUUAGGCAUAAGUGCAUCCUGUUUAGUGUGCUGUUAACGAGGUCGAUGAAAAGACGAUUAAUAUAGCUUUAUAGUAUCGUGUAUCUAGCAAAAUGUAUGUGACGUAUGCUGCUAUUCUUUUGAGAGGGGAGGAAACCCAUUAACGUCGACAAGUGUGGCCUAACUUUGACGACAAUACUUUAGAAACGCAAACUGCUUUGCGCACGUGGGCAUUACAGUGAAUGCAAGCGGAGAGAGUGCAGAAGCUUGCACGCUUCGACCACCGUCCCAGUUAACCUGGGUUUGAGCCUUGUCAUGAUGCACGACAUGAUUUGCCAAAAUACAUUUUCAACUUCGCAGAUCCCUUCGGGAUGCUGAGCCAGCCAAAAAUGUGCAUAUCCUGCAGUUUUGAGGCUUAACUGCACCGGAGAGACAAAGAUGGCCAGGUGUGUCACUGCCUCUACCACCACUCAAUCUUGUGCCACGCUAGCCUCAAUAAUUGAGAACAGCACUUGUCCUGAUAAUUUGAGGUUAACAUGGGCAUCUUUUUUUAUGUUGUCAAAUAACUGAAAAGACCUUCCACUUUGGAAAUUGUAAUGGGGUUUCUCCUGUUCCAUUAUUGUGCUUUAGGCUGUAAUGAUGAUGUAAGUAAAUAUUGUAGCAUAAAUAUAUUGUUAAAUACUGAUAUACCAGGUCCGUAAGGUACUUUUAAAAACAUGCAAUACUAUUUUCUCAGCGUGUGCGUUCACUAGUGGACAAUUGUCGACUACAUAAAUCUCACUUUUAUAUAAUAGACGGUUUGAAAUCGAUAGGUGUUUGAUGUCCGCCUUUGUAUGUCUUCCCGCAUCACGGGUUCCAUUCAAUGUCAUGUGCUGUCUCACCUUUGGAACUGGGAGGCUUUUUUCAAUAAAUUAACUGUUGCCAUUAUAAGACGCGUUUUAUGCUAAAUGAGGUUAAGGUGCACACCCCUGCAAUUGCUCCCUCCUAGCGAUGUGACCUACCCAAACUCACAUGCUUUUUCUUAACCAUUAAAAUUGUAUGUAACCGUUAAUAAAUGUACUCCAUUUUCUGUCUCUCAAUACCCCUCAAAGAACACCAUAUCCCAAUGGGAAUGCUUGCUCAUUCGGAGCACGUACAUGUCCCAUAGGUUGCAAGAGAAACAUCCUCACGCUGAUGAUUCAUUGUACCCUUCUGAGUCCAUCUUGACACCAACUACCACCCAACUUUCAAUACUUUUUCUUAAACACAGGUGGCCCAAAGCCCCAACACGUCAAGCAGUUGGCAACACACAGCACUGUCAGAGUUGUUAUAGGACUUAGCACAUUUCUCGAAAUGAGAAAGGCCGUAAGAGCUUUGGGAAUGUUCAUGGAAAGAAAUUUGGAUGGGAGAGAAUUGACUGAAUUGUAAUAUUGCCUGAAAAUACCAGUUGGUAAAAACACUUGACAUUUAAUUUUAUUAUCAGUAUCCCCUCGAACCUCUAGUCAGUAAAAAUAAAUACAGCCGUCUUUAAAAAAUAUAAUGGAUGAAGGCCCUCCCAUUGUGGCAGUCACGUUCGUCAGCAUGGGUUGUUGGUAAAGGACCGAACUAGAUAUCGAUUGGCACGAAUAUUGAGCCAUGGCCUGGAAUAAAACGCCGGUCGCUCGAUGGGUCCCAUGGUGCAGUGCGCGUGCACCACCGCCACUGAACCCCAUAAAAACUCGUGAUUUGAUGAUAAGAUACAUUUUUAUUCCGCUUUCAAAUUCAGAACCAAAAGUAGAAGAAUGAGCAAUUCACGAAAGAUGUGUAACAACAAAAAGUCCGCUUUUUAAAAAGGCGACUGUCUUUUUUUAAAAUGGAGUUACUGGUUGUGAUAGGUUACUAGAGCCACCUAUUGACAGAUAAAUGAAUUACAAAAUUUCAAAUAUAUAUUACUGUAUCGUAAACUCCGGCUUUAAAGACGCAAUUUUUCCCGAUGUCAUUUAAAGCAAGGUUUGGUGGUGAGUCUUACAAUACAGAAGAAAGGGUAUCAAUUAUAAGUCGUCUGCCCAGUGAACAAAUCAAUCAGUGUGCUGUGUAAAUUGCCAAUACACGUUUCAGAAUUUUAAAUCAAUUUCAUCUAUAACACAAUCAUUAAGCGUCGUUGUUGGUGAUUGUAAUAAUAAAUAAUGCCACCUUCCCAUAUUCGUGUCUGCACAUAAAUAUGAUAGCAUAAUAUCGGCAACAGCAGCUGGUGAGACGCGGCCACUUCGUUGAGCGAAUAUGUGUGGCCAGGUCGCUUCUACGUCGUUCAGUGGGGCCAUACCUGGUAAAAUAAAACAUAGUUCAAGAGAAUGCUGAAGUGGCAGAUGUCCUUCUAUACUGCGGCCAGGAGAGGGCGCUAUCAAUUCGCACUCAGUACGCUGGUCACCCCGAUAUGACAAGUGGACAAUGAUGUGCGUUUAAAGCGUGAUGUCACAAUUUCUCUACAGUCGAAUGGAUUCAUAUUCUUUGGUUCUUUCUAUAAAGUUACGUAGAUAGAAAGAAAAAAUAUAAAGUGAAUAAAAAUAUCACGACGCUUCGAUCGCAACAUAAGCGGUCGUCAUCAGGAAAAUGGGUUAGCCUCUAAAAGCAAACUGUUUAUAAAGGUUUGGAGAUGGGCGUAGCCCAAGUGUAUCAACAGCACCAACAGCAUUGGCGGGGCAGAAAUGCCAAUGCAGCAGCAAUGCCAAUGCAGCAGCAAUGCCAAUGCAGCGGCAAUGCCAAUGCAGCAAAGGGCCGCCAGGAAAUCCCUGCACCCCGCUCCACCCACCACACUGCUGACGGUGGAGGUUGAUUGACAAGAAAACACAAGUCAAGUUAUGACCCAAAGUGGUUGAUGACAUCUUUCCAAUGAUUGCUGAGUCUAGAACCUUCCUCUCGGUUGAAAUUGUGUCUGUAUAUAUGGAUGGCUUCAUGAACGAAUCUUUCUUCUUGGUUCUUUCGGUAAAGUCACGUAUUGUUUUUUAUGGUUUAUUUUUAUUAUUUUAUUAUUUCCCUUCUACGUGACUUUACCGAAAGAACCAAGAAGAUUAAUCCCUGCAGUCACGAAAGCUUUAAAUUGAAGGAAUCUUUGUUGAUAGCCAGUAGGCUUGCAAAGUACCAUCGUCUUAGAGAAAUCAUUUCGUGUGAGCCAGCCGCAUUAAAAUAAUGAUCAGCCACGGCAGAAUUAUUGGUCCUGCCGUGUUUCAGAUCUGCCUUAUGUUCACUAACACGGUCCGAGACAUGUCGCUUAGUUUCCCCAAUGUAACUGCUGCCGCAGACACAGCUUAGUUUGUAGACGCUGGGAUAUUGCAUGUCAGCAAUCUUGUCCUUCACGUAAUUUUAUGUACUGUCUUAAACCGAACCUGGAUCUUGUAUUUGUUCAUGAUUUUGGAAAUAUUUUUGGUUAUCUCUGCUAUGUAUGGCAGGGUGAUGGUUUUGAUUGGAUCCACAGAUGGCGCCUUCCUCACGGUUGGGGUGACGGCUUUGCGGAUUGUGUAGUCAGAAUAUCCAUUCGCCUUGAGAACGUG